AUUGAACGCUGGCGGCAGGCUUAACACAUGCAAGUCGAGCGGUAACAGAGAGACGCUUGCUUCUCUGCUGACGAGCGGCGGACGGGUGAGUAAUGCCUAGGAAUCUGCCUAGUAGUGGGGGAUAACUUGCCGAAAGGUAAGCUAAUACCGCAUACGUCCUACGGGAGAAAGGAGGGGACCUUCGGGCCUUUCGCUAUUAGAUGAGCCUAGGUCGGAUUAGUUAGUUGGUGAGGUAAUGGCUCACCAAGACCGCGAUCCGUAACUGGUCUGAGAGGAUGAUCAGUCACACUGGAACUGAGACACGGUCCAGACUCCUACGGGAGGCAGCAGUGGGGAAUAUUGGACAAUGGGGGAAACCCUGAUCCAGCCAUGCCGCGUGUGUGAAGAAGGUCUUAGGAUUGUAAAGCACUUUAAGUUGGGAGGAAGAGCAGUUAACUAAUAUUUGACUGUUUUGACGUUACCGACAGAAUAAGCACCGGCUAACUUCGUG
rnacentral:rRNA from 1 species